GCAUAAUAGGAAUUAUAUAUAACUUUCCUAGGAAAGUGGAUGGCCAACCAAACAUAAGCAUCUUGGAAAUUUGUCACUUUCCCAUGGUCAACCAAACAUGUCAAAAGUACUUUCCUAGGCAUCCUCUUCCUAGGAAUUUGUUUCCCAGGAAUCAUAUUCCUAGGAAGGAAAAUGCUUCCCGCGAACCAAACGAGCCCGAA
rnacentral:lncRNA from 1 species